AUAAAGCAGAGGUAGGUAGUCUGGUCCUUUACAUAAAGCAGAGGUAGGUAGUCUGGUCCUUUACAUAAAGCAGAGGUAGGUAGUCUGGUCCUUUACAUAAAGCAGAGGUAGGUAGUAGGUCCUUUACAUAAAGCAGAGGUAGGUAGUAGGUCCUUUACAUAAAGCAGAGGUAGGUAGUCUGGUCCUUUACAUAAAGCAGAGGUAGGUAGUCUGGUCCUUUACAUAAAGCAGAGGUAGGUAGUCUGGUCCUUUACAUAAAGCAGAGGUAGGUAGUCUGGUCCUUUACAUAAAGCAGAGGUAGGUAGUCUGGUCCUUUACAUAAAGCAGAGGUAGGUAGUCUGGUCCUUUACAUAAAGCAAAGGUAGGUAGUCUGGUCCUUUACAUAAAGCAGAGGUAGGUAGUCUGGUCCUUUACAUAAAGCAGAGGUAGGUAGUCUGGUCCUUUACAUAAAGCAGAGGUAGGUAGUCUGGUCCUUUACAUAAAGCAGAGGUAGGUAGUCUGGUCCUUUACAUAAAGCAGAGGUAGGUAGUCUGGUCCUUUACAUAAGGCAGAGGUAGGUAGUCUGGUCCUUUACAUAAGGCAGAGGUAGGUAGUCUGGUCCUUUACAUAAAGCAGAGGUAGGUAGUAGGUUCUUUACAUAAAGCAGAGGUAGGUAGUAGGUCCUUUACAUAAAGCAGAGGUGGGUAGUCUGGUUCUUUACAUAAAGCAGAGGUAGGUAGUCUGGUCCUUUACAUAAAGCAGAGGUAGGUAGUCUGGUCCUUUACAUAAAGCAGAGGUAGGUAGUCUGGUCCUUUACAUAAAGCAGAGGUAGGUAGUAGGUUCUUUACAUAAAGCAGAGGUAGGUAGUAGGUCCUUUACAUAAAGCAGAGGUGGGUAGUCUGGUUCUUUACAUAAAGCAGAGGUAGGUAGUCUGGUCCUUUACAUAAAGCAGAGGUAGGCAGUCUGGUCCUUUACAUAAAGCAGAGGUAGGUAGUCUGGUCCUUUACAUAAAGCAGAGGUAGGUAGUCUGGUCCUUUACAUACAGUAGAUUCUCAGUCCUGCCCCUCUGGAAACUUCUCUCAAACUGAGGAUCUGUAUCCCAUCCUGCACACAGUAUUUUACAAGUUUCUCUCUUUCUGCUUCACUCACCCUUGUCUGAACAUGAUGUAGUCUACUCACCCUGCUCUGAACGUGAUGUAGAUUACUCACCCUGGUCUG